CGCGGUGACGUGGGGGACGGCAGCGCGGUGACGUGGGGGACGGCAGCGCGGUGACGUUGGCGCCUCUUCCCAGCAGAGUCACGCACACGGGGCCUCGCAGUGGGGACGGGGACUGACCCGCAGCGCAGGCUGACAAGCUGACAGGCUUGUCACGCGGCCACCGCCAAACUCCCGACCUGUGGGAAGCAGGGCCAGCCUCCGCCCCCGGUGGCUCCGCUCCCGGCGAGGACGGCCCCCGAGGCCUGCUGGUGACGCCGGACCCGCCCGGCACUGAGGGGCCCGUCUCCUCGUUGACACACCCGUCACACCCGCUCCGGAGACGGCCGGGUCUUCUCUGCCACCAUGCUCAUGCCGUGCCACCUCCCGUCACACUGCUGAGGAGUUGGUCGUGCGGCAAAGGCAGCGUGGCAGCGGCACGCGCGUGACGUCCGUCUCCCCAAGGCCAAGGUCCCCGCCACCCGGGGCGGCUGACCUGCUGGCACGGAGGGACGACCUCUGGGAACUUCACGCCUGGAGACAGCCGCACGGAUGCCACCAGCGCACGGCGCCGUCUCACAGCCGAGCCCCGUCUGCGACGCCAGGGUGGGACCAGGAAGGGCUCUUGUCCCCACCACACCCAGCGGUCACCGCAGGGCGGUCUUAGUUCCCAAGGUGGGGACAGUCCUCCUGGGGCCACAUGGCGUCCACUGCACCGCAAGCUCAGGCCGCCACCAGCUACGGGGCUGCUCAUGCGGCUGAUCGCGCAGGGAGGAGAGAGUCCUGCCUCGGAUGGGAUGACCUGCGCCAAUGACAGGCUGCAAUGACGGGCUGCUGCCACCAUCUUCGGAACCCAGGACACUGGCCGGGUGCUUCUGGAAAUUUUCAUGACGAACAUUGUGGCCGAUAAAGGCAAGAUGACGAAGGCUUCGGACACUGGGAGUGAAUGUUGAAUCUCUCACAAGGACUGAAUGCAAGAUCCCCUUUUUCUUUCUGCCUGACAAACGCGCUGAGGGCUCACAUACUUCACCUGGAGAAACUGCGGGAAUCAACUCACAGGGAGCGGCCGGCCACCCACAUCUGGACCCUGAAAAGUGUCUGCUGCCACCCACGUGGGACCAGACCCUGCAGAGCGGCCCUUUGCCACCAGGAAGGCUCUGGCUGUAGAAUUUCGAUCGCUGUGUUUUCCCAACGUGCCAGAGCCCCAGUGGGAAGUACCUGGGCCGGUUACCGCGUAACAGACGUGUGCCGUCUUUCCAUCAACCCCACGCAACACAACACGCCCCGGAGUACGCAAGACUGAACGGACCUUUAUGCACGUUGUAUAGCUACAAAAUAACUGCUGUUCGCUACUAAGGCUGCACUGGGGGGUCUUCUGAGCCCAGCGAGC